CAGAAGAGUUGCCAAGAGACACAGAGGGAGCAAGACGUGCUGGAGGACAGUGGCCCAUCAACUACUGUGUAGACAGUGGUUGGGGGACCAUAGGACUCACACUGACUCAAGUCUUCAUGUUCCAUUGGUAGAGGGCUAGCCUCUCCAAAGAGGCCAACUUUGGGUAAGGUUCCCACAUAGAACCCUCUGUGAACUUGCAUUCCCGCAGAGGUGAUUCCAAAAUGGAUGGCUGCAGAGGGCUCCAGGGGUCGAGCUGAACCUGCCCUGGCCCUGCGUGACUCUUCCACAUCCUUGGGACUUCCUUCUCCUCCAUGCAGUCUCAGCAACGGCUUCUUUAACACGUUUUCAUAAGAGUGAGAAUGGGACAUAUCCUCUGGGCUUUGAGAUUUUGCCCCUGUGUUUCUUGGUGAAAAUAUUUGUGAAACAGGAUCUAAUGGGUUUGUUUGAUGAUCUGCUCCUGUCCUUGGCUUAUCUUGAAUAAAAUUUCACAUUUCUUUGUAA